UUCACUUCCAUUUUUGCCUUACUUUCAGGGAUGUUACAGUGCAGACAAAGAUUCUGGUGCCUCACAAGAUUUGACACAAGCCAGCGCUUUGUUGUUUUUCUCACCUGUUGGCCAGAAGAUUAUCUUGGAGCAGGAAAAGCCAAGUGGAAGAAGCCAAGUGAAGGGCUAUGGGGACCUAGAAGAUGGAGUCGUCACACAGUGGAAGAAUUGCAGAUCUCUGAGUCACCAUUUGGACAAGAACCUACUAGAACAGGUGCCUGAACAAGAACACUGGACUUUGUGUGAGUGAGAAACAAACUUUUAUUGUGUUAAGCCACCGAGAUUUUGGGUUGGUUUUUAUAGUAGCUGGUGUUGCUUACACUGACUAAUACAUCUUGAAAGUAAAUGAUGCAAAACAAUUCUACUUAUUCACAGGGGGUGGUAUUUAUAAGGGAAAAGAAUAACAGGGUGGUGUCAGUGAUGGGUCCUGAUAAGUAAGCAACAACAAGGAAGGGGCCCCAGGUAGGGAAGAACAAUUGUUCUGAGAGACUGUUAAUCACAAACAACCUGCUAGCCCCACAUCCUGUUCUCAAAUACUUUGCUCAGCAUGUAGCCCCAGCAGCAUGACUUUGUCUGCAUGUAGACCCUCCAGCAUGACCCUAUAAAAUUUCCCUCCAGCCACUGCCUCUUGGCAGACAGUCCCUUCUCUGCUGUGCUGCCCACUGCUUUCUUACAACGUUAUCUUUGUACUUUCUCUAAUAAAUCUGCCUUUCUUUA
rnacentral:lncRNA from 1 species